rnacentral:rRNA from 1 species
GGGGAAUUUUCCGCAAUGGGCGAAAGCCUGACGGAGUGACGCCGCGUGGGGGACGAAGGCCUUCGGGUUGUAAACCCCUGUCAGAGGGAAAGAAGGGUGUCGGCGCGAUAACCGCCGGUACUUGACGGUACCUUCAGAGGAAGCCCCGGCCAACUCUGUGCCAGCAGCCGCGGUAAGACAGGGGGGGCAAGCGUUGUUCGGAAUUACUGGGCGUAAAGGGCUCGUAGGCGGCCAACUAAGUCGGACGUGAAAUCCCCAGGCUCAACCUGGGAACUGCGUCCGAUACUGGAUGGCUUGAAUCCGGGAGAGGGAUGCAGAAUUCCAGGUGUAGCGGUGAAAUGCGUAGAUAUCUGGAGGAAUACCGGUGGCGAAGGCGGCAUCCUGGACCGGCAUUGACGCUGAGGAGCGAAAGCCAGGGGAGCAAAC